AUACGGGAGGCAGCAGUGAGGGAUAUUGCACAAUGGGCGCAAGCCUGAUGCAGCGACGCCGCGUGGAUGAAGAAGGCCUUCGGGUCGUAAAAUCCUUUUGCGCAUGACGAGAACAAGGACGGUAGUGCGCGAAGAAGUCUCGGCUAACUACGUGCCAGCAGCCGCGGUAAAACGUAGGAGACGAACGUUAUCCGGAGUUACUGGGCGUAAAGGGCGUGCAGGCGGUCUGAUAAGUUCGGCGUGAAAUAUUCGGGCUUAACCGGGAUAGGUCGUCGGAGACUGUCGGACUAGAGGGCGAUAGAGGCGUGUGGAAUUCCGGGUGUAGUGGUGAAAUGCGUAGAGAUCCGGAGGAACACCAGUGGCGAAGGCGACACGCUGGGUCGCACCUGACGCUAAAACGCGACAGCAUGGGGAGCGAACGGGAUUAGAUACCCCGGU
rnacentral:rRNA from 1 species